AGGUUACUGCUAUCGGUGUUCGCCUAAGCCAUGCGAGUCAUAUGUUCUUCGUGAACAUGGCGUACUGCUCAGUAACACGUGGAUAACCUGCCCUUGGGUCCGGCAUAACCCCGGGAAACUGGGGAUAAUUCCGGAUAACGCACAUAUGCUGGAAUGCUUUAUGCGUCAAAUGGAUUCGUCCGCCCAAGGAUGGGUCUGCGGCCUAUCAGGUAGUAGUGGGUGUAAUGUACCUACUAGCCUACGACGGGUACGGGUUGUGAGAGCAAGAGCCCGGAGAUGGAUUCUGAGACAUGAAUCCAGGCCCUACGGGGCGCAGCAGGCGCGAAAACUUUACAAUGCGGGAAACCGUGAUAAGGGGACACCGAGUGCCAGCAUCAUAUGCUGGCUGUCCGGGUGUGUAAAAUACACCUGUUAGCAAGGGCCGGGCAAGACCGGUGCCAGCCGCCGCGGUAACACCGGCGGCCCGAGUGGUGAUCGUGAUUAUUGGGUCUAAAGGGUCCGUAGCCGGUUUGGUCAGUCCUCCGGGAAAUCUGACGGCUUAACCGUUAGGCUUUCGGGGGAUACUGCCAGACUUGGAACCGGGAGAGGUAAGAGGUACUACAGGGGUAGGAGUGAAAUCUUGUAAUCCCUGUGGGACCACCUGUGGCAAAGGCGUCUUACCAGAACGGGUUCGACGGUGAGGGACGAAAGCUGGGGGCACGAACCGGAUUAGAUACCCGGGUAGUCCCAGCCGUAAACGAUGCUCGCUAGGUGUCAGGCAUGGCGCGACCGUGUCUGGUGCCGCAGGGAAGCCGUGAAGCGAGCCACCUGGGAAGUACGGCCGCAAGGCUGAAACUUAA
rnacentral:rRNA from 1 species